rnacentral:rRNA from 1 species
AGAAUCAACGCUGGCGGCGUGCCUCAGACAUGCAAGUCGAACGAUUAAAGCUCUCUUCGGAGAGUGUAUAGAGUGGCGCACGGGUGAGUAACACGUAAGUAAUCUACCUUCGAGUGGGGGAAUAACGUCCGGAAACGGACGCUAAUACCGCAUAAUGCAGCGGCAUCGCAAGAUGACAGUUGUUAAAGAUUUAUCGCUUGAAGAGGAGCUUGCGGCAGAUUAGCUAGUUGGUAAGGUAAUGGCUUACCAAGGCUACGAUCUGUAACCGGUCUAAGAGGACGGUCGGUCACACUGACACUGAAUAACGGGUCAGACUCCUACGGGAGGCAGCAGUCGGGAAUUUUGGGCAAUGGGCGAAAGCCUGACCCAGCAACGCCGCGUGAAGGAUGAAGUAUU